AUUGAACGCUGGCGGCAGGCCUAACACAUGCAAGUCGAGCGGUAGAGAGAAGCUUGCUUCUCUUGAGAGCGGCGGACGGGUGAGUAAUGCCUAGGAAUCUGCCUGGUAGUGGGGGAUAACGUUCGGAAACGGACGCUAAUACCGCAUACGUCCUACGGGAGAAAGCAGGGGACCUUCGGGCCUUGCGCUAUCAGAUGAGCCUAGGUCGGAUUAGCUAGUUGGUGGGGUAAUGGCUCACCAAGGCGACGAUCCGUAACUGGUCUGAGAGGAUGAUCAGUCACACUGGAACUGAGACACGGUCCAGACUCCUACGGGAGGCAGCAGUGGGGAAUAUUGGACAAUGGGCGAAAGCCUGAUCCAGCCAUGCCGCGUGUGUGAAGAAGGUCUUCGGAUUGUAAAGCACUUUAAGGUGGGAGGAAGGGCAGUAAAUUAAUACUUUGCUGUUUUGACGUUACCGACAGAAUAAGCACCGGCUAACUCUGU
rnacentral:rRNA from 1 species